rfam:Picea glauca, whole genome shotgun sequence.
GGAUCAAUGGCGCAAUGGUAGCGCAUCUGACUCUAGAUUAAAAGGUUGCAUGCUCGAUUCACGUUGAGUUCA